GCAAACUUGGUCAUUUAGAGGAAGUAAAAGUCGUAACAAGGUUUCCGUAGGUGAACCUGCGGAAGGAUCAUUACCGAGUUAGGGUCGGCCCUGGGAAAAUAAACUCCCUCGGUCGUCCCGAACCUCCCAACCCUUUGUCUACUUAACCACAACGUUGCUUCGGCAGGUCCGCCGACCCCCAGGUGGUAAAACACUCGGGGCGAGGCCGCCGGGGGUCUCACGACCCCGGGCCCGCGCCUGUCGAUGGCCCCCUCAAAAACUCUUGUCAAAACGUGUCGUCUGAGUUACAAACAAAAAAUAAAACCAAAACUUUCAACAACGGAUCUCUUGGUUCUGGCAUCGAUGAAGAACGCAGC
rnacentral:misc_RNA from 1 species